UACGAAGGGGGCUAGCGUUGCUCGGAAUGACUGGGCGUAAAGGGCGCGUAGGCGGCUCAUACAGUCAGAUGUGAAAUUCCUGGGCUUAACCUGGGGGCUGCAUUUGAUACGUGUGGGCUUGAGUGGGGAAGAGGGUCGUGGAAUUCCCAGUGUAGAGGUGAAAUUCGUAGAUAUUGGGAAGAACACCGGUGGCGAAGGCGGCGACCUGGUCCUUGACUGACGCUGAGGCGCGAAAGCGUGGGGAGCAAACAGGA
rnacentral:rRNA from 1 species